CACGUAGGGACCAAGCGUUGUCCGGAUUCAUUGGGCGUAAAGAGCUCGUAGGCGGUUCGAUAAGUCGGGUGUGAAACCUCCAGGCUCAACCUGGAGACGCCACCCGAUACUGUCGCGACUAGAGUCCAGUAGGGGAGCGUGGAAUUCCUGGUGUAGCGGUGAAAUGCGCAGAUAUCAGGAGGAACACCAGCGGCGAAGGCGGCGCUCUGGGCUGGAACUGACGCUGAGGAGCGAAAGCGUGGGGAGCGAACAGG
rnacentral:rRNA from 1 species